rnacentral:rRNA from 1 species
UCUGGUUGAUCUUGCCAGCAGUGAUAUGCUUGUCUCAAAGACUAAGCCAUGCAUGUGUCAGUAUAUAUUUUGCAUUAGAAAACUGCGGAAAGCUCAUUAGAAAAGUGUAAAUGAAAAGUCAUAAUAAUAAUAUGCAUACCUUCUGUAAUUCUGAGGCUAAUGGAUGCAGGCGAUAAGGCAGUUCCAAAACAUGCACAUGAUGAGUUGAAAUAUCACCAAUUUAUUGGGAAUAUGUGCAAUACAAUUAUGUAAGCUGUUGCUUGUCACAUAGGCGAUUAUAUUCUUACCUAUCAGCUUGCGAUGAUACGCUAGUAACGUAUUAUGGCUGUUACGGGUGGCGAAGAAUUAGGGUUUGAUCUCGGAGAGGACGCUUGAGAAAUAGCGGCUACAUCUAAGGAAGGCAGCAGGCGCGUAAAUUACCCAAUCUUGACACAAGGAGGUAGUGACAAGAAAUAACUGUGUGUGGCUCUAUGCUGCACAUCCGGAAUGUGUGACAGGUUAAGCGUGUUGCGAGUAGCUAUUGGAGGGCAAGUCUGGUGCCAGCAGCCGCGGUAAUUCCAGCUCCAAGAGUGUAUAUUAAAGUUGUUGCGGUUGAAAAGCUCGUAGUUGGAUUUAUGCUAUGCUGGUACAGUCGACCCCCUGGGUAGGACUUGUAUUGUUGCAUUGCACACUGUAGAAUUUGUGUAUGUUUUUCAGUAAAUGUGCAGAAUACUACUUAGUUACUUUGAGGAAAGUGGAGUGUCACACGCAGGUUGCGCCGUGAACAUGCUAGCAUGGCAUGACGCUGUAUGACUACGAGUCUCUUUGAACGGUUUCGGGACACGUGGUAAUGAUUGAUAUGAGGUGUUGGGGAUACUCAUAUUUGACAGUUAGAGGUGAAAUUCUUGGAUUUGUCAAAGAUGAACAAAUGCAAUAGCAUUUAUCAUGGAUGUUUCAUUUGAUCAAGAACGAAAGUUAGGGGAUCGAAGACGACCAGAUACCGUCCUAGUCUUAACCAUAAACUAUGCCAACUGGAAAUUGGAAUAUAUGGAGAGAAAAUAUAUUCAGUAUUGUGCCUGAAAAGAGUAAGUGUGUGGGCUCCGGGGGGAGUAUAGUUGCAAGACUGAAACUUAAAGGAAUUGACGGAAGGGCACCACCAGGAGUGGAGCCUGCGGCUUAAUUUGACCCAACACGGGAAACCUCACCAAGUCCAGACAUACGCAGGAUUGACAGAUUAAUUGCUCUUUCUCGAUUGUAUGGGUGGUGGUGCAUGGCCGUUCUUAGUUGGUGGAGUGAUUUGUCUGGUUAAUUCCGUUAACGAACGAGAUCCUAUUCUGCUAACUGUUGC